rnacentral:rRNA from 1 species
AGCGGCGAACGGGUGAGUAAUACAUCGGAACGUGUCCCGUAGUGGGGGAUAGCUCGGCGAAAGCCGGAUUAAUACCGCAUACGAUCUACGGAUGAAAGCGGGGGACCGCAAGGCCUCGCGCUAUGGGGGCGGCCGAUGUCCGAUUAGCUAGUUGGUGGGGUAAAGGCCUACCAAGGCGACGAUCGGUAGCUGGUCUGAGAGGAUGAUCAGCCACACUGGGACUGAGACACGGCCCAGACUCCUACGGGAGGCAGCAGUGGGGAAUCUUGCGCAAUGGGCGAAAGCCUGACGCAGCGACGCCGCGUGAGGGAAGAAGGCCUUCGGGUUGUAAACCUCUUUCAGGAGGGACGAAGCCACUCGGGUUAAUAGCCCAGAGGGUGACGGUACCUCCAGAAGAAGCCCCGGCUAACUACGUGCCAGCAGCCGCGGUAAUACGUAGGGGGCAAGCGUUGUCCGGAUUUAUUGGGCGUAAAGAGCGUGUAGGCGGCCUGGAAGGUCAGCUGUGAAAACUCGAGGCUCAACCUCGAGACGUCGGUUGAAACCACCUGGCUAGAGUCCGGAAGAGGAGUGUGGAAUUCCCGGUGUAGCGGUGAAAUGCGCAGAUAUCGGGAAGAACACCCGUGGCGAAGGCGGCUACCUGGACAGAAACUGACGCUGAGGCGCGAAAGCUAGGGGAGCAAACAGGAUUAGAUACCCUGGUAGUCCUAGCCCUAAACGAUGGAUACUUGGUGUGACUGGGAUUGAAUCCAGUCGUGCCGAANCUAACGCAUU